rnacentral:rRNA from 1 species
UACGGGGGGGGUAAGCGUUGUUCGGAAUUACUGGGCGUAAAGGGCUCGUAGGCGGCCAACUAAGUCAGACGUGAAAUCCCUCAGCUUAACUGGGGAACUGCGUCUGAUACUGGAUGGCUUGGAUUCGGGAGAGGAAUGCGGAAUUCCAGGUGUAGCGGUGAAAUGCGCAGAUAUCAGGAGGAACACCGGUGGCGAAGGCGGGUCUCUGGGCCGAUACUGACGCUGAGGAGCGAAAGCGUGGGGAGCAAACAGG